rnacentral:lncRNA from 1 species
AUCACAACAGAACUGCUACAGGAAAUCAAUGCAUUUUUCCCAUGGGAAAAAUGUACAGGUUCGAACAAAAGCCAUGACCUCCAGAUUUCAGCUAGAAUCUUAUAAAGGAUGUUCCAGAUUUUAAACUGAUUUUCAUAUUUUAUGCAUGAGAUAAAAGCACAAUCCUAGAGCAUAGGCAUGUAAGCUUCUUCCUGCACCAUGUGUCUUCCAAGCAAGCAAUCUUGUUUUGGCAUGACACGCUUCGCUUUUAGUAAAAUUCACAUGCUUCCGCAUACUUUCUUAUUGACUGCAUCAUGUAAUUUCUUUCCCUUUUCCAGUAGCAACCCAUAUCUUCCAAACACAUAUAGAACUCAUUUUAAACAAAAAGGACCCCAAAUAUGCAAGUAUGUUCGAGUAAUCUCGAUGGUUAAUGGAUCCUACAAUUUUUUAAAAAUUAAUAAAAGUAUUCGAAGAAUCUAAGUAAAAUUAGGUCAUAAUGGAAUCUCCCAUGGUGUUUCAGGAAGUCCAAUGUAAUUGAGGUUUCCUGAAAAUGGAAUACUAGAACAAAAAGGCACAAAAUUUCACUUUAAAUUUGUGGAGGACUAUGGGUUCUUGGAGCUUCCUCUAAAAAAUUGGCUCUUCCCAAGAUGUUCCCUGUUCGGUUAG